UAUCUUAAUUGGCAUCAAUAUCUCAUUCUUCCAAUAUAAGUGGUUGCAGAUAUCAGACAGUCACCAUUAUGUGGGACGGUCUAACCUAAGAUGAUAUAAAAUUCCAUGUAUUAAACUUUAGCCCUAGGGAAAAAAUGAGAAGCCAUUGUGGGGUAAGUAUGAGAAUAUGGGAUCAGUAACUGAUGGGAAAGAGGUACAAGGAAUGUUGGAAAUUUUUUGUGGUGACAGAAGUGUCCUCUAUGUUGUAUUCGUGGUGACGGUGUAUACAAUUGCUAAAUGUAGCAGCUGUAUACAACUGCUAAAAUUCAUUGAACUGCACGUUUAAGAUCUGUGCACUUUGUUGUUAUUAAUAACUUGAUUUUUAAAAAUUCUUAGCCUUUCUACAAUUUAUGAUUUACUCCAAAGAAAAUGAAAUACUUGGGUUAUACACUUAAAAUAUGUACAGGAUCUGUAUGCAGAAAAUUACAAAAUGCUGAUGAAAAAAAUCAAAGAAGACCUGAAUCAAUAAAGCUUCAAAUACUCUUCCUAUGUGGCAGGAUUUGCACCUGGAUUCUACCCAAGCCCAAGCAGGGGAUAAAGGCAGAUGAGACGGCCACAGACCACGUGCGAGGAGAGAAACCAAUCCUGGGAGACAGGUUCACGCUGACAUUCACGGAGCUUGGAACCCAUGCAUUGAACUGCUUUCCCAUUUUGUAAGGCAACCUUCCACCGCAGUUGAGCCAAUGAAAAAAUCACUUGAGCUUCUUUAAACAAGUGGUCAUGAGGAGCAUUUGAGGAUUCAUUUGUCAAGUUAGUUGGAACCUCGUAUGUGGGCAAAGCUCAUGUUUCCAAUUUGGGACUCAGAGCAAGCUAUCAGCUGUGUAGCCGCUUGGCAUCAGCCCUGAGACCGUGGUAUCUUUAGCAGCUCACUGUGUAGGAUGACGCCAACUAGAUGAGUCGUCCCCGUGGAAAACAGCUCACUCGGCAUAUGUUUAUGAAGCUGCAAUUUGGCAGUAGUAUCAAGACCUUUCUUCUAGAAAUCGCUAUGACCAGUACACACAGUGGAAAGAUCUGAAAGAGAGGAUUCAAUUUUUAUCUGGGUUCUGAGACUCCCCCUUUCCUGUGCAGAUUAUGGGGUAUACACUACGUAAAACCAUGGCUCGCAAAGUGAAAGCAUUGAUAGCAUUCUUUACUCAACAUUUUAAGUAGAUGAUUUGAAAAUGAUAAAGUGAAAUGUAAACACCUCUAUACAGAACUGCAAAACAUUUUAGAUAAAAUGUGAAGUGUGCAUUAUUUUCACUUUGUGCCAUUAUAAAUAUGAAAAGAAAUCAUCAAAUACACAAGGCAGAAUUUUGAGGGCACAAAUGAAUGAAUUCUCCCACAUGUCCUACCUCGUAUUUGCAGCGCUACCCCUGAAAUAGUUUAUUAUUGCCACAAUAAUGCUGUGUAACAACUUCCCUACCUACCCGCCCCCAAUCUCGGUGGCUUAAAAUGUUAGUAAUUGAGCCGCAAGCUCACAGGUCUGUGUAUUGGACAGUGUCGUUUAGGAACCCAGGCUGGAGGGAUGGUGCUGGCCACCUGGUACAGGUAGAAGCGUGUGAUGCCUCUUAAACCCAAGGUUUCUGCCCAUAUCUAUCGGCCGAAGCAGUUCAUAUGGCCAAACAAGCCCAACAUCAGUGGGGCAGGAAAAUACGUUUCCCCCAUAGAGACUGAUGGAAAGGGAGUGACUAUUUGUUGGACAACUGUAUGAAGAACCACAUAGUAAUUUGAAAAAGCAGAGUUUAAUAUAAAGAAUUAUGAACUAUAACAGGAGGUUGGAGUAACAGAGGAUUGGCUAAAAAGAAGUAAAGAAAAUGCUAAAGAAUACGGGAAUAGCAGAUCCAAGGAGCAGUCAUUCCACCUAGGACUGAGACAAGAGUCCAAGGUACAGACCCCACCCACCCCCAGUGCUGAGAUCCAGAUCCUACUGGAGGGGUAGGGCCAGCCUUGGCCCACUGGAUAGCCCAGAAGUCACUGUGGUGCUGUGGAACUCGCUGGAAAUCUGCACUCUGGAAUUUGUCAGAAAUCACCCUCUUAGUUACGGGGGAAAGCCGUUCACAGGAGGUGUCUCACUAGAGGCUCUCUGCUACAGAACUGCCCAAGAGGGGCUGCCCGGGAAAGCUGCUGGCCACUAGGCGCUGCUGGCCACUGAGCCCUGUAGGAGCACACUUUGGGGAAGCGGCGCAUGCUGCAGGAGCCUGCCCGGCACGCACACCAGGACCGGAAAGCAAAACCUGUUUCCUCCUGCAACCUCUCUCUAGCGCCCUCUACUGACAAAGCUUAAUAUUGUGCCAACUGGUAAAAUAUAUUUAAAUAUUUUAUUUAUUUA